UAUCUCUCUCUUCCCUCUCUCCCCACGCGCGCCCUCCCAGCCACGGCGCCCCGCCGCCGCCUCCACCGCGCUCACUCCGCCCCGAACCCACCCCUCCCCGCCCCGCCCCAGCCGCGGCCCGCUCGGCGGCGGCGCGUCCAAGCCAUGCCCUGCCCGGCGCCGCUUCGCCCCACUCUGGCCGGCCGUCGGCCACCGGAUCCGGUGGCAGGAUGAGGCGGAUCCAUGGCGGACGUCAGCAGCGGCGGCGGCGGCGGCGGAAGCGUCCGGUGGCAGGAUGAGGUGGAUCCCGAACUGCGCUCUCUCGUCUACUCUUUCCAUCUAUCCUGGAGCGCGAUUGACGUACUGCCGCGAUUGUUUGUUCGAUCUGGUGUUUAGGGGGUGUUUAUUUAGGGUUCAACUCGUGUCUCCUGGGCGAAAUCCGCGAAGAAUGCAUUAGUUUCCGGAUCGAUGCGAUGCGUGUUCAAUUCAAUCGCCUAGCGAUGCGAUUGGCUAUUUCUUCAUCUGUUAAAUUGAUAUAAUCACCCGGUCGGAUUUUCUUCUCAACUUUCUGUGUCCAGAGAGGAGACAAUGGCUGGAUUAUGCAGGGCUCUGCACAAGGGCAGAUCACCUCCGGAGGGCCUUGACCAAUACGUAGCAGAUUUCGAGGAGGCCACAUUCGAGAAAGCAACAGGAUCGACUACAUGAAAAUGAUAUCUAUCAGGGUCAGUUUCGGCCAAAAAGAGGCAAAACUAAAGGCUAAGAUUGCUGCAGACCGUAAACAAAAGAUGCAAAUGGUGCACCAGAUGAUGCAGUCGGCUAACAUGGUUCAAGCUAUUCAGGGAGUCAAUAGUUCUAACAUGGUUCAAGCAAAUGGUGCAUCAAAUUUUUCUGAAACAGUAGCACAUUGCAGUAUUCAGGUCACGGAAACUGAACCAAGCAUGUCCCUCGUUUCUCAGGAGCAGGCCUAACUGAUUCCAAUCCCCUCGUGCUCAAAGGGAACAUAUCAAGAACGUUAAGAAGAAAAUGUGCUAUUGCUCUACCACUGUAGUAACUUUAUCAUAUUCUAUAAAGUGUAGGAUCGGCUACUAGACUAUAUUGAGUGUAUACUAAUCAAGGUUAUUUCUGUACUAAUACACAAUCGGUUCCUUGUUCAGGAUAUGAUCCGUUUGGAUGCCUAAUUAUCAUAGUUAUUAAAUGGAGAGUUGUUAAAUGGAGAGUUGCCUAAUGAUCCGUUUGGAUGCCUAAUUAUCAUAGUUACCUGCUGUGUCUUAAUGUUUCAUUUCUUACUGUAACCACGUGCUCAUUGGUUGAUUCUAUUUAUCUUGUUUUGACUGUAGUAGGUAGGGACCAGAGAGAUGUGCAGUAGCUGUUGCUGCAUUGCCAGCCCGUGGCCAUUUAGGAAACAAUAGCUACUUGACUCCUACUUAUAUUUGUGCUUAUAACCAGUGCACUAAUUGAAGGCAAACUACUCGUCAUUUUCUUCAUUGGUGUUUGUAGCAUUAGUAUGAAGGCAAGCUGCUCCUUAUCAUAUUCAUCUGUUCAUACCUGUAUGUUGCCAAAAACUUGUAUGUUAGUUGGCAGAUAGCAGAAUCGAAUGACUUGAAUAUUUCCUUCAAGAUAAUGAUUUUCUCUUUGAAUGUCAUUCUGCUUUUGUUUUUGGAGCAGAGCUAGACCCGGCCACAUGCCUAGUGUUCUAUCAAUAAUGAUUCUCUUCGAAUGUCA